CAUAUGACUGUGCCCUGUAUGUGCCACCAAGCACAUCCAUGGUUCUGUGUGCUACUGCCAUCCUGAUGCAUGACACAGCCAUUCAUGUUACGUUUGGUGCCAUAUUAUACGUACACACACCUAAAUUAGUGUACAGAUGGAACCUGGUCGAGGUGAGGCUGGCACAGGGAUCGCUCUGCACUCUGGGCGAUGUCCAUGGAUGGAAGUGGGCCAGUGACAGAGGGGGCCAUGUUGCUCCAUGUGCUAUCCAGCUGUACUCCCGACCAGGUUCUUCACAAUAAACUGGCAGGACUGGUGGCACAUCUGCAUGUGAAAUAAUGCUGGGACUGCUGCUUCCUGAGGCCCUCUGGCUGUAAGGUCAAGACUCACUAAUGAACAUGGAAAAAUUACUCCAGCUACAGAAGCAAUUGUCUGAUAGUAGGAGGACAAG